ACGCGCUCUCUCGCUCUCUCUCUCUCCUCCAAAACACAGCUCUGUCCUUCCCUCUUCCCCCCUUCACUUCCCAGAGGGAACCUGCCCAUCCCAGAAGCUCUGUGCUGUGGACAGCAGGAAGGACGGGCUGAGGGAGGAAGGGCGACUCCCAUACCUCACUGGCCACCAGAGAAGACUGUGACAGGGUCCAAGAUGACCCCAGUGACCAUCCUAUGCUGCUGUCCCCACGCUGGUUGCUAGAAACCAACAGGGUCACCAAGAGAACAAUUUGUCUGAGAUUCCCCAAGUUCUACAAGGCCAAACUGAGCUCCCUCUGAGCUCCAGAAGCAGAGGACGUUGGGAUGGAUGCCUGCUGCCUCACGUAAACGGAAGGGUGAGCUGAGGACAGCAGGGAAGGUGCCCACUCAGGCUGGGGCACCCAGGACUACCCCCAGGAGCCUGCUGCGCCUUCACAGCCUACGCGGCUUGGGAGAUGGCACUGGUGCUGGGGCUUGGGCGGGGGGCGGGGGGCGCUCCCUGUGAGGUCUGCAUUGCUGCAGCUCUGGAUGUGUUCCAUUCCCUGGGUGGCUCCUGAGUCCUCACACGGCCCUGUGAGAGAGAGUCUGGAGCCCCGCUUUACCGGUAAGGAAAUGCGACCUGUUCUCACGGCCCUCUGCAGGUCUGAGGGCUCUAAGGUCUAAGGCUCUAAGUGGGCUUGAGAAGUCCUGAGCACCAGGCCCCAAGCCACAGGCAGCCCGGCCCUGAUGCCACCACACUUGAGAGGCAGCAGGGAACCAGAAUCAAAGCAUCUAGCUUGGACCUGACCUAGAAAAGCCAUGCCCUGCCCCUGGGCUGGUGAAACCAAACUGCCUGGGGAAGGUUCCCCAUAUCGAUCCUCAGGCAAGACUUGGGUAUCUGUGUGGUUUGGGGUCAUGGCUGCUGUGUCCCACUCCCAUUCCACCAAGGAAACAGGUCCUGUCCCCAGCCACUCCUCCGGAGGAUGAAAGGGCCAGGCCUCUGACCCCUCUUCGUGUCCUGGCACCGGCAUAGGGACAGCUUCCUGUCUGCAGGGACGGUGGCAGAGGGAGGUGCCCCUCCAGGUGGCUGAUAUGGCCUGGCCAUCCCUGGGCGGCCUCUAUCGCUGCCGCCUGCCUCCGCACACCAUCUGGUCUGUGAUCAAAGGGGCCGCAGGCAGGAGCUGCCCACGGGCCUGGGCAAGCGUCCCUUAUCUCUCCAGGCUCGGGAACUUUCCAGACUCAGGGCACCGGGAGCCCAGUGGGGCGGGAAGGGCAGGCCAGAGGGCGUGGGAACAGACAGGGAUUCCGGGCAGUGGUGGGAGGGAUUGAAACUCAAGGCCUGAGACUGCACACAGGCGGGAGUCCUCAUGGUCCUCUAUCUCCACUCCCACCUUACGCAGACCAAGCCCCAGCUGGCUGUGUGACCUGGGGUGCAGCGCUCCACUUCUCUGAGCCUCGGUCUCCUCUUCUGCCAAGUGUGAACCACGGCAACAGUUGUGAGGACACCAGUCAGCAAGGAUCACAGGAUAUUGGCAGGAUCUUGCUAAGCUACCCAGGCUGGGCUCGAACUUGCGAUCCUCCUGACUCAGCCUCCCAAAGGGCUGGGAUUAUAGAAGUGCUCUACCACAGCCAACCCUGUCAUCUGCAUUUGGAGUUCCCCCAAAUAGCAUGACUUGGUCAUGAGUCUGACCUGCGAUGGAACACCGGCCCUUGGAGGACAGUCUGUGCUCGCGCAUUCCUAACGAGGACCUUAGCAGAGGAGGUGGUGGGCUAAGCACAGGCGGGGCUGGCUGAACAAGUGAGGAGCUGCUCAGUUCCUGUUUUGGAGAUUUCACAGAGCCCAAGACCAGAAUCAAGUCCUGUGUUUUCCCACAACCUCUCCAGAUAAACAAUCCCAGUUCCUUCUGGGCUUCCUUUUGCAGCUGAUAGGACCCCGAGCUCCCAGAACAGAAUGAGCUGGUGAGCAAACACAUUAGCUAAAACCCUAAGCAGGGCUGUGCUGGAGCAGUGAAGUAAAGGGACGAAGAGAUGCAUCAGUGAGUGGAUGGAUGGGAAGAGGUUGUGAGGAAGGGGGACGGGGAGAGAAGGGGAGGAAAGAGGGCCAGAGAGAGAGUGGGAAGGGGGAAGAGAGAAGAGAGAGGGAGCGAGAGGGAGGGGAAAGGAAAGAGCCACCCUAUAUCCAGGUGGAGGGGCACCAGCAGCAAAAUCAAGUACAGAAAGCAGGUCAGUGCCCUCCUGCCCACAAGCUUCCGGGAGAGUCCCCAGCCCUCCGCAAGCCCCAGACCACAGGCUCUAUAAGGUUGGCAGACUGUGGCUCACGAACCAAACUUGACCCACUGCUUGUCUGUUUGAAUAAAGUUUUGUUGAAACACA